CCAGACUCCUACGGGAGGCAGCAGUGGGGGAUAUUGCACAAUGGGGGAAACCCUGAUGCAGCGACACCGCGUGGGUGAGGAAGCGCUACGGCGUGUAAAGCCCUAUCAGUGGGGAAGAAAAAGGACGGUACCCAAGGAGGAAGCUCCGGCUAACUACGUGCCAGCAGCCGCGGUAAUACGUAGGGAGCGAGCGUUGUCCGGAAUUACUGGGUGUAAAGGGAGCGUAGGCGGGAUUGCAAGUUGGAUGUGAAAACUGCGGGCUCAACCCGGAGCGUGCAUUCAAAACUGCGAUUCUUGAGUGAAGUAGAGGCAAGCGGAAUUCCUAGUGUAGCGGUGAAAUGCGUAGAUAUUAGGAGGAACACCAGUGGCGAAGGCGGCUUGCUGGGCUUUUACUGACGCUGAGGCUCGAAAGUGUGGGGAGCAAACAGGAUUAGAUACCCCUGUA
rnacentral:rRNA from 1 species